GACGAACGCUGGCGGCGUGCUUAACACAUGCAAGUCGAACGGAAAGGCCCUGCAUUUGUGGGGUGCUCGAGUGGCGAACGGGUGAGUAACACGUGAGUAACCUGCCCUUGACUUUGGGAUAACGUCAGGAAACUGGGGCUAAUACCGGAUAGGAGCUCCUGCUGCAUGGUGGGGGUUGGAAAGUUUCGGCGGUUGGGGAUGGACUCGCGGCUGAUCAGCUUGUUGGUGGGGUAGUGGCUUACCAAGGCUUUGACGGGUAGCCGGCCUGAGGGGGUGACCGGCCACAUUGGGACUGAGAGACGGCCCAGACUCCUACGGGGGGCAGCAGUGGGGAAUAUUGCACAAUGGUCGGAAGCCUGAUGCAGCAACGCCGCGUGCGGGAUGACGGCCUUCGGGUUGUAAACCGCUUUCGCCUGUGACGAAGCGUGAGUGACGGUAAUGGAUAAAGAAGCACCGGCUAACUACGUG
rnacentral:rRNA from 1 species